AGCUCCUUUGUCUCUUAUUCUGUACAGCAAUAUUUGUCAAAGGCUGCAAACAGGAAUAUACUGGCGUAUUUAGCUCCCUUUUCUGGAACUUCCUUCUCUCCAGGAUCUUGACCUCUCAAGUCCUGCCUACUUUGGCAGCCUUGAACUCAAAUUCCCAUGACAUCGCCAAAAGGUCUGCUGCAUCUCGGCAGAUGACCUGAGAGAGAAAAGCAUCUUUUUUUUUUUUUUUGUCUUUUGUCCUUUUAGGGCCUCGCACACAGCAUGCAGAGGUUCCCAGGCUAGGGGUCUAAUCAGAGAUGUUGCUGCCGGCCUACACCACAGCUCACCAAAAUGCUGGAUCCUUAACCCACUGAGUGAGGUCAGGGAUUGAAGCUGCAACCUCAUGGUUCCUAGUAGGAUUUGUUUCCGAUGUGCCACAACGGGAACUCUGAGAAAAGCAUCUUCUCAACUCUCUUUAGUUCCCUCUUUCUCAGAUCUUCGCUCCUUGAGUCCUACUGCCCUGGCAACUCUCUGAUACCACUCUGGCUCAGGAGAGGCCUUCCUCAAUCUAGCAGCAUCUGAGAUCAGCUUCUGUUCUGACUGGUCAGUGCCUAGGACAGUCCAAAUUAUUAUCUCAGAGGUUCUAAGUGCAAGGGAACAGUCCACAGGCAGUUACUACAGUUGGUUUGGCUAUCUUUAUCACCGGUCAACAGCAGAGGCAUUAAUAAUUAGAAUAAUGAAAGUUAGAAAUGAUUUUUCUAUGAUGACAAUGGUUGCGUCUAGCAUAUGUGGAUGGGCUAGAAAUAACAUGUAGGUCUUCUUGCUGGUGCACAAACAAUGCAUGAAGAAUCCCGCAAGCCCAAUUAACCUGUAGAUUAGAAUUCCAAACGGUCCAUUGUUCCAUUGGUCUAAUGGUCCAAUGGUCCGUCCUUCCAGAUCCUUCCAGGAGGAUUUUUUUUGGUCUGACUUUGAAUCAUGCCAUCAGCACAGAACCACACUUACUUCUAGUGCCUCUUUUAUGUAAGAUGCUGUAGGUGUGUGUGUGUGUGACUAAAAGGACAGGGAUUAUCAAGUUUACAUAACAGACUGUAUAAUUUUUUUUGGCCAGCUUGCUAACACAUGUCUGUAACUGUGGUGCAAUUUCAUGUAAGAUUUAUUUUCUUCAUAACACCACCUAGAAAUGUUUUGUGAAAGGAAACCCAUGGCCCCACUUACCUGGAACUAUGGGAUGCUAACAUUUUUCACAAACUGGCCUCGGUCAGUUUGGAAAAUAUCCUUUGCUUCAUAAGUCAGUGCAAAACUUGAGCGGCCAUGAUGGCCUGCUCAUUUUCUCUGGCUUUCCAGCUUUGUUUUUCUUGUAAAAUAUCAUAGUAUGGUACUCUUGGCUUUUCCACGUUCUCUCAUUAGCCCUAGUAGCACACAAGAGGAACUGAGGUUCCUGAAAGGUCUAAGUUGACAGGUGAAUCGUAUUCAAGAGAAUUGAACUCUUUCUUCUCUCCAUCCGAGGAAAGCCCACAGAGAUUGUAAUGUAUUCUUAAGCAGAAGAUACAUUACAGAACCCAAAUAUGCGUCAACGAAACAGCUUAAGAACCUAGGGAGGCCACCAAAGCAGCUUUUGUGAGCGCAGACCAAGAAGGGCCUGGGCACAGAGCAUCAAGGGAUCCUUGCACUCUUAAGCUUGGCAGGACCUUAGAUAUUUUUCUAGUCUAUUUAUAAUCUCCAUUUUAUAAUCAGGGCAACAGGUCAAGGGACGUUUGGUAACUUAGCGGAAAUUCCUCAGGAGGUAAGGUUUGCCCCAGAAUUCAGUUGACCAGAUUUUAAUCCAUUGUCUGCUCAGAGCUCCCUGUUUUAUGUGCUCCAGAAUGAGCUCCUAGAGGCCAGUGGCUCCUGCUCGGGCUACGGUAACAUCACCCAGGGCUGGCUCUUAUGAUCUAGCCCACGUUAGGUCACCAUACGCCAAACCCUGCACAGAACUUUUAGGUGACCAGCUGGCUUGGAUAUGAGCACAAUGCCAUCGACAAAGUAAGUAGAAGUUUCUGUGCGAGCGUCACAGGAAAAAAACUGCAAUCAGGGAUGUGGGAUACUUUGAAUUCUGACUAUCCCGAUAUAGUUAUUGCCUUUUUGGGAGAGAAAUAUGAAAAGACUGAUGUCAAUGACACCAAGCAACUUAUAUGUGAGCCUUGACCUAAUUUUUUUUUUUUUUCUUUUUAGGGCCACACCUGCAGCAUAUGGAAGGUCCCAGGCUAGGGGCUGAACUGGAGCUGCAGCUGCAGGCCUACACCACAGAUAUAGCAACGCAAGAUUCGAGCCACAUCUGCAACCUACACCACAGCUCACGGCAACCCCAGAUCCCUGACCGACUAUGUGAGGCCAGGGAUUGAACCUGCAUCCUCAUGGAUUCUUGUCGGAUUCUUUUCUGCUGCACUAUGAUGGGAACUCCUCACCUAAGUUUUUCGGGUCCUUAUCUCUCUGGUUGAAAUUCAUUUCAUUCUCUGGAUAAUUUUGGCAGAGAAUAAAUAUGCUGUCUCAAAACACACACACACACACACACACACCCUAAACCCAUUCAGUUAUUUCUCAUGAGACAAAUACCAAUCUGAGGCAUAAAAUGAAAGAGGAAAAAUUCUUCAUACUGAAGAGAGGGAUAUGUGUUCGAAUUUCCUAUAAAAAUAGGAAAUCACGGGGAUCUGAUUUAUUUGCCAACAUGACAGAUAUUUUGAAACACCACUGACUUGGUCUGUUUUUAUUUCCCCAGCUACAGUUGAAGUUAACAAUGUACUUCACAGAGAAAUCACAGGCACACGGGGUUGUCGAUAGAAAAGUUCCCUUACAGAUCCAUGAGGACGAGGGUUCGAUCCCUGGCCUCGAUCAGUGGGUUAAGCAUCCCGUGUUCCCGGGAGCUGUGAUGCAGGUCACAGACGUGAUUCAGAACUGGCGUUGCUAUGGCUGUGGUGUAGGCUGGCAGCUAUAGCUCUGAUUUGACCUCUAGCCUGGGAACUUCCGUAUGCCAUGGGCUGUGACCCUAAAAAUAAAAAAAAAAAAAAAAAAGAAAAAAAAAAGAAAAAGAAAAAGAAAAAAGAAAGAAAGAAAGAAAA
rnacentral:lncRNA from 1 species